GACGAACGCUGGCGGCGUGCUUAACACAUGCAAGUCGAACGAUGAUCCCGGAGCUUGCUCCGGUGGAUUAGUGGCGAACGGGUGAGUAACACGUGAGUAACCUGCCCUUGACUCUGGGAUAACUGCGGGAAACUGUAGCUAAUACCGGAUACGACCCUCGGCGGCAUCGCCAGGGGGUGGAAAGAAUUUCGGUCAAGGAUGGACUCGCGGCCUAUCAGCUAGUUGGUGAGGUAACGGCUCACCAAGGCGACGAUGGGUAGCCGGCCUGAGAGGGUGACUGGCCACACUGGGAGUGAGACACGGCCCAGACUCCUACGGGAGGCAGCAGUGGGGAAUAUUGCACAAUGGGCGCAAGCCUGAUGCAGCAACGCCGCGUGAGGGAUGACGGCCUUCGGGUUGUAAACCUCUUUUAGUAGGGAAGAAGCGAAAGUGACGGUACCUGCAGAAAAAGCACCGGCUAACUACGUGCCAGCCGCCGCAGUAA
rnacentral:rRNA from 1 species